rnacentral:misc_RNA from 1 species
GCAAACUUGGUCAUUUAGAGGAAGUAAAAGUCGUAACAAGGUUUCCGUAGGUGAACCUGCGGAAGGAUCAUUACAAAUCAGUUGGGGGUCUUGGUGGGGGAGGUGAGGUCUGAAGAGGAGACUCUUUGGAUGAGCCUUUCCCCUCAAUGUGCCUCACAUUUACGCUUGAUGUGUUUGACAGAGUAACAGUGUAUCGGUUAAUGAUGACAACUUUUAACAAUGGAUCUCUUGGCUCUUGCAUCGAUGAAGAACGCAGC